CAGCCGCCGCGGUAAUACGUAGGGUGCGAGCGUUAAUCGGAUUUACUGGGCGUAAAGCGUGCGCAGGCGGCCCGUUAAGACAGGUGUGAAAUCCCUGGGCUCAACCUAGGAAUUGCGCUUGUGACUGGCGGGCUCGAGUACGGUAGAGGGGGGUGGAAUUCCUGGUGUAGCAGUGAAAUGCGUAGAGAUCAGGAGGAACACCGAUGGCGAAAGCAGCCCCCUGGGCCUGUACUGACGCUCAUGCACGAAAGCGUGGGGAGCAAACAGGAUUAGAUACCCUGGUAGUCCACGCCCUAAACGAUGGGUACUAGCCGUUUGGUGCGCGAGAGCGCUGAGUGGCGAAGCUAACGCGUGAAGUACCCCGCCUGGGGAGUACGGCCGCAAGGUUGAAACUUAAAGGAAUUGGCGGG
rnacentral:rRNA from 1 species